GACGAACGCUGGCGGCGUGCUUAACACAUGCAAGUCGAGCGGUAAGGCCCUUUCGGGGGUACACGAGCGGCGAACGGGUGAGUAACACGUGGGUGACCUGCCCUCAGCUCUGGGAUAAGCCUGGGAAACCGGGUCUAAUACUGGAUAUGACUCCAUGACGCAUGUUGUGGGGUGGAAAGCCUUGUGCGGCUGAGGAUGGGCCCGCGGCCUAUCAGCUUGUUGGGUGGGGUGANGGCCUACCAAGGCGACGACGGGUAGCCGGCCUGAGAGGGCGACCGGCCACACUGGGACUGAGACACGGCCCAGACUCCUACGGGAGGCAGCAGUGGGGAAUCUUGCGCAAUGGGCGAAAGCCUGACGCAGCGACGCCGCGUGAGGGAUGACGGCCUGGUUGUAACUCUUACU
rnacentral:rRNA from 1 species